CCAAAGACUAUCCAAUUAUCAUGUGUAUUUAUUGAGGGCCCCGCAAUUUAUAAUUUAUUUGGAGAGGCAGGCCUUAUUUUAGUUUAAAGAAUAUCCUAAAGCGACUACGUUUUCCAUUUCGUUUGUCUCUAAAAAUGAAAGAAGAAAAGAUCCUAUAUAAUAAGACUUGUUAAUACUGAAAACAGACAUGGGCGCGCGAGCAGAGCAGUUUUGGGGAUUAGCCUGUUACGCCUGGUCCUUUACACUGAAGACGUCUUAACACAAUUAAGAACAUAAAUCUAAUACUAAACUGGCUGGUCAAAUACGGUUAAUACAGUGCGACAAUAGAUAUGAUUUGGAAAUUCACUAGUUUCGGCUUCCAUGCUUGCAUAAAUUAACUAUAAUCAUAACUCAAAAUAUGCUGCACAUUAGUCCAAAUUUAAUUUCCUUACUACUAUUCAUUUUUAUCAACUUGACUGAAUUUGACAUAUAUGAAUAUUGAAGUUAUAGAAUCAGUGAUGCCUGACAACAAUGGAUUACCUACAAUUAAUCUUACGAAUUACAUAUUCUUGACAACAAUUUCUGAUUUUAACCACAUACAUAAUUCUAACUUCCUGAUUUUCGAACUCACAUAGUAACUUGAAUCCCAAUCUUUAGGCUAACUCAACCCAUUACUGCUAAACAUAAAAUUCCAGCAAUUAGAAUAAGUAUCACACUACUUUAACAGUCCAUGGCUCAACCAAUCACAACUUGAAAACAUAUCUAUACAGAUUUUUUAGAAAUAAGCAUGGAAAUCAACUAAAACCUUAACAGAAACCAUUUGUCAGCCUAGUAUGAAAUUGCUACAGCUGAUACACAUCCAAACUUAUGUGCAUUUCUAGCUCCUACGCAUAUUUAAUAGACCAAAUGAAACAAACUUAUGCUCAAUAGUUCAAAGUCUAAUUUAUACAAUCCAGGAUCAAUUUAGUCUACAAAUGUCAUGAAAUGUCGAAUAAACAACUGACUUAUACUAAACUUGAAUAGAAAACAAGAAGGCUUGGAGAUCCACUUCAAAUAACAUUUUACUUUAUUUGCACAAACUCGAGAGCUUUAAAACAUGUACCUGAUAUUUGGAAACAAAGAAGGAGAAGGAAAGUCAGUGAUGGCAGCAGCAGUAGCAUACACAACGUAGCAACAAAUAUAACCAGCGACAACCAGCAACCAGUAGCAGAAAAACCCAGGGACGGACUUGAAAACCAAGCAGAAAAUCCCAACGGGAAUAGUAUCCAGCACCAGUUUUGAAAAACCCACAAAAUUAUAGUAGAACCAGUAGAGCAGUAGCAAAUGACCCAGUAGGAAACUCAAAAACAAAUACUUGAAGAUUCCAAGAAUACAAGGGAAUAUUAAGCUUCUGAUUUUUUUUUCAGUUUUUUUGACACUCAAUUUUUCUUAACAGAUNNNNNNNNNNNNNNNNNNNNNNNNNNNNNNNNNNNNNNNNNNNNNNNNNNNNNNNNNNNNNNNNNNNNNNNNNNNNNNNNNNNNNNNNNNNNNNNNNNNNNNNNNNNNNNNNNNNNNNNNNNNNNNNNNNNNNNNNNNNNNNNNNNNNNNNNNNNNNCUUUUCUAAGUGUCAAAUGGCUCUUAUUUAUAUCUAAAACACAACUCUCUUCUCUUCCCCUUUAUUUAUUGUUACUACCUUUUUUUGUUAUUACCCUUCCAAUUACCUUCUCUUUCCUUUAAUUUUCAGCCCCCCAAAUAUUCUCUUCUAUAUCUCUUUUUAUCCUUUUAUCAUUACUUAUACUAUUCCUAAUUCUAAUUAAGCAAAUACUCUCAUUACUUAAUGGUUGCCCUCUACCAAUUAGUUCAAAUUAAAGUUAUUGGGGGCCUACUGGGUAGACUAUUCAGUAAAACCAGAUUUUCUUAUUCUUCUAUUCCUAGAACACCCCUAAAAUAUUGUAUUACCCUAAACGGAAUAUACAUCAAUGUCAAUUCAAACCUAAAACUAACUUUGGUUAAACAACUAAAUUACUACAACUAAAUUAUCCAAUCUCUGGAACAACUGAAACUGAAUUUAAGCCUAAGUCUAAUUCAUAUCAGACCCCAAACUCAACAGAGCAAUCAAUCAGGCAAGUCAGUAGACUUAACAGAAUUGAAUCCAAACUAUAUCAAAUGGUAUCACAAUUACAGGGGAAUAGUUGAUUGUAUCCACAACUCUAAACUAAAAGGAACUGAAUAAAAUAAUGUAACAUACUUGGACAAAAAUAAGCUUUAUUGAUGUACAUAACGACGAACAACAAAAUAUGGAAUCAAACAUCACAGAAAAUGAGACCAUUUGAAUCAGUAAUACUAGUGACUCAUUACAGGAUAUGAUACAGUUUUGUACAUAAACAUUACGGAUACUAACUUUUACAACAAAACUGAAGGACAAAUAUAUUCAAUCGAUUUAAUAUAUGCUAGUCAACCACAUGAGAAAACUGGACCAGAAAAAAAAUCUGAAAGAGAAGAAAGAAAUAAAUUGAAAAUAUGAUAAGAUAUAAUCAAUUUUAGACAGAUAAAUGACAACAAAAUUAUAAAAGAAAACGAAAAAUACCUCAAAAUUACACCCCAAACUCCAAACAGUUCCCCUUCCAAACACUGACUUGAACUCUUACUUCGGAUGUUAGAUUGGAAUGAACCUUAGUCGAAUGUUCUCAACUGAGAACAUACGACGACGAUUGAUUACAACCUCAACCUGCCCAACUCGUACCAGAAUAGGAUUUAGAAGUGUUUUUCAGGGCUUAUCUUGGAUUCGAAAUUCGAGAUGCUCGACUGAAAUUCGAAGGAAUCCACUUACUGUUCAGGGAUGAGGGGGUCGGGUGGAGCUGGGGAGUGAACUUGGAGGCGUUUGGGUGAACUAGGGUUAGGGGUCAGUUCUUUAAUCUAAAAUUCGAAGAACACGGGGAUGAUUCAAAGACGAUGGAGGGUGGAUUUGGAUUGGGGGUGGUGAGGAGGUUAAGGGGGGUUAGUUUGGUGGUGGUCGGAUACGGGGCCUCGAAGGAAUCCACUUACUGUUCAGGGAUGAGGGGGUCGGGUGGAGCUGGGGAGUGAACUUGGAGGCGUUUGGGUGAACUAGGGUUAGGGGUCAGUUCUUUAAUCUAAAAUUCGAAGAACACGGGGAUGAUUCAAAGACGAUGGAGGGUGGAUUUGGAUUGGGGGUGGUGAGGAGGUUAAGGGGUGUUAGUUUGGUGGUGGUCGGAUACGGGGCCACCGAGUUUUUUAGGCGUAGGGUGACAUGGCGGCUAGGGUUUGGUGAGGGAGAUGGUCUUUCUCUUGAGAGAGACGAUGAGAAUGAGUGAGGUGGCUAUGGAGGGGGAAGGGUGUGGUUAGGGAUAUAUACUAGAGGGAAGAUCGAAUCCAAACUGUUGGAUCAUAUGAG
rnacentral:lncRNA from 1 species